GGGACUUAGUAGCAAGUGGGAGAAAGAAGAAACUCAUAUUCAUAUUUGCAUUUUGGCACCCUAAGAACAGCCUUCACUAAAUCAGCUUCUGUUUUGAAGGAGAAAAACGAGUUUGAAGUUGGGACAUGCAUGCUGAUUGUGUGAUAAAGAGUGGAUACGGGUUUGAUGAAUUUGGAGUUGGAGUUUUGGUCAAGUGAGGAGCUCAAUUGCAGCAUGUUCAUCAUCCAAAGCUCCAUUGAUGCAAGGUGCAGUUUAGUAGUGUUUGGUCAGUAGCAGGUUUGGACUGAAGACUUGGAAGUGGUGAUGGCUCGGAGACCUCGUUGGUUUUGACUUUCCGCUGUGCAAGAUCCAU